UGGGGGAAUUUUGGACAAUGGGCGAAAGCCUGAUCCAGCAAUGCCGCGUGUGUGAAGAAGGCCUUCGGGUUGUAAAGCACUUUUGUCCGGAAAGAAAUCCUUGGCUCUAAUACAGUCGGGGGAUGACGGUACCGGAAGAAUAAGCACCGGCUAACUACGUGCCAGCAGCCGCGGUAAUACGUAGGGUGCAAGCGUUAAUCGGAAUUACUGGGCGUAAAGCGUGCGCAGGCGGUUUGCUAAGACCGAUGUGAAAUCCCCGGGCUCAACCUGGGAACUGCAUUGGUGACUGGCAGGCUAGAGUAUGGCAGAGGGGGGUAGAAUUCCACGUGUAGCAGUGAAAUGCGUAGAGAUGUGGAGGAAUACCGAUGGCGAAGGCAGCCCCCUGGGGCCAAAUACUGACGCUCAUGCACGAAA
rnacentral:rRNA from 1 species